rnacentral:rRNA from 1 species
AGAGUUUGAUCCUGGCUCAGAAUGAAUGCUAUUGGUAUGCUUAACACAUGCAAGUUGAAUGUUUCUUAAAACAUAGCGAACGGGUGAGUAAUGUAUAAAUAAUCUGCUUUUUAAUUCAAAAUAAUUAGUUGAAAGUAAUUUGAGCUAAAAAUGUUGAAUAAAAAAUAAAGUGAUAGAACGUUAAAAAAGGAGUUUAUAUAAGAUUAGGUAGUUGGUAAUUUAAAAGCUUACCAAGCCGAAGAUCUUUAGUUGGUUUGGAAGAAUUAUCAACCACAUAGAGACUGAGACAAGGCUCUAACUUCAAGGAAGGCAGCAGUGAGGAAUAUUGGACAAUGAGCGAAAGCUUGAUCCAGCAAUACCAAGUGGGUGAAGAAGGCAUAUAGUUGUAAAGCUCUGUCGAUAAAGAGGAAAAAAGACCUGAAUUAUAAAGGAAGUUCCGGCUAAUUUCGUGCCAGCAGCCGCGGUAAUACGAGAGGAGCGAGCAUUAUUCAGAAUGAUUGGGCGUAAAGGGUUUGUAGGUUGUUUUUUAAGUUGAUAAAUAAAAAAUAAAGCUUAACUUUAUUCCAUUUUUCAAAACUAUUAAACUAGAGUAUAAUAAUAGAGGAUAAUAGAAUUUUUAUUGGAGGGAUAAAAUCUGUUGAUAAUAAAAGGAAUAUCAAAAGCGAAGGCAUUUAUCUGGGUUUAUACUGACACUGAAAAACGAAAGCAAAGGUAGCGAAUGGGAUUAGAUACCCCCGUAGUCC